UACGAAGGGUGCGAGCGUUGUUCGGAAUUACUGGGCGUAAAGGGUUUGUAGGCAGAGAUGUAAGUCAAGUGUGAAAUCCCCGAGCUAAACUUGGGACGUGCAUUUGAAACUGUGUUUCUUGAGUAUCGUAGAGGGUGGUGGAAUUGUAGGUGUAGGAGUGACAUCCGUAGAGAUCUGCAGGAACAUCAGAGGCGAAGGCGACCACCUGGCCGAUUACUGACGCUGAGAAACGAAAGCGUGGGGAGCAAACAGG
rnacentral:rRNA from 1 species